rnacentral:rRNA from 1 species
UACGUAGGUGGCAAGCGUUGUCCGGAUGUACUGGGCGUAAAGAGCGCGCAGGCGGUCGUUCAAGUCGCGUGUGAAAGCCCCCGGCUCAACUGGGGAGGGUCACGCGAUACUGAUCGACUCGAAGGCAGGAGAGGGAAGUGAAAUUCCCGGUGUAGUGGUGAAAUGCGUAGAUAUCGGGAGGAACACCAGUGGCGAAGGCGACUUCCUGGCCUGUUCUUGACGCUGAGGCGCGAAAGCUAGGGGAGCAAACGGG